UUUCCUCUCCCCUCUCUCUAAAAGUAAAGUAGAUCUCGUCUGGUUUGUUUCCGGCGCCGGUGGCUCCCUCAGCGCCGGCGUCGAACUUUCUCCUUUAGAUCUUCAUCGUCGGCGAGUGAUUCUGAGCGUAACGACGAUUGCGGGUUGGCCUUCUUCUCCGGCAGCAUCGCGGUGUGGUUAAGUCAGAUCUGGUUGCUCGUUGGUGGCUUCUCAUCAUCGGUCAGAGAGAUCUCCUCUGUCUCUUGCUGUUUGAGGACUGCGGCGGGAGCGAGACUGCUUCUUUCCUGGCUCGAUCGUUGGUGCUCGAAGCUCCAUGGGCGGCGGAAGUCCAGAUCUGACCCUGGUGGGUUUGUGCGCUGCUUGUGGUUGUGGGAUUAGCUGUGGAUCUCAGUCCUAGAUGGCUAUUCUCGGAUCUCGGAGGCGGAUGGUUGCCUGAGCCAACAGCUGUCAUCCUCUGCCGAGUUUGUGUUUUCCCACCCACCGGAUUGAAGCUGGUUGACCCGGGAAAAGCUUGAUGGUGGGUUGCUGAAGAUGGAGACUGACUUUUGCGUUCUUUCUUCUUGCUAGGUAGGGGAGUUGAGAGAUAGGGUCGCGGUGGUCGCUACUCUGGUCCUUUUCGGGAGAAAAGCUUCGGGUAUAGCAGGAGGUUGUCUUCAGCCGGCGGCUGGAUCCGCUAACUCCGGUCAAGAGCUUGGCGGCACCCUUCUUGCUUCAAAGGAGUAGUUCUUGUUAGCGCCGGACAUGGAUGGCCGUUUAGUGUCACCGUUGUACCGCCUAUUCGUUGAUCUCCUGUUCCGGUGUACUUUGUCGAUUCGGGUUUUUCUUUUUUUGUAACCGUUUAGGUCCGUUAAGGUCUACUUCGCAAGCCCA
rnacentral:lncRNA from 1 species